rnacentral:rRNA from 1 species
UACAGAGGGGGCUAGCGUUAUUCGGAAUUACUGGGCGUAAAGGGCUCGUAGGCGGCCAACUAAGUCAGACGUGAAAUCCCUCGGCUUAACCGGGGAACUGCGUCUGAUACUGGAUGGCUUGAGUUUGGGAGAGGGAUGCGGAAUUCCAGGUGUAGCGGUGAAAUGCGUAGAUAUCGUAAGGAAGACCAGUGGCGAGGGCGGGUCUCUGGACAGUUCCUGACGCUGAGGCACGAAGGCCAGGGGAGCAAACGGG